GACAAGUUAGAUCCGGCUACGAGACUUAAAGGCGGAGGGAACUGCUUGGACCGCAGCACAGGGCGGAUCAGACCGGUAGUGCUUCCUGUUGUGAGCCGCGCAACCCUGCCGGUUUCGCUUCCUAGAAAUGACGAGAUGGGCGUGCUCCUGACUCUUGACCAUUGGGAAAUCUUCCCAGCCUGGUAGCACGCCAAGCCUUGGGGGGUUCAGUGGCGGAGGCGGCUAUCUUUCUGGGAUAGGGGCUGAAUUGUUCCUUUGCUGCUUUUGCUACCCUGUGGGUGCCAUGUUUUAUCUCCUCUGCGAUACCUGUUUGCCAUCCCUGCCUUGGAGCCAGGUGAUUAUGGACUGAAACUUCUACAAAUUUGCACGUUGUUCAGAAUACUAAGAAGCUCCUGGCCAGACAUGGUGGUACAAGCCUAUAAGCCCAGCACUCAGGAGGCAGAGGCAAGAGGAUCACUGAGUUCAAAGCCAGGCUGAACUACAUAGUAAGACCCUGUCUCAAAAAAAAAAAAAAGCUCCUGAUAAAAGAGGAAGACGAGAGAGGUAACAAGAAUGGCCUGCCACACAGGAAAGGAAAACUAAGCACUUGUACUGUCAGCUGCCAUGAACUAAGCAGUUUUGGGCCACCAC
rnacentral:lncRNA from 1 species